GAUGAACGCUGGCGGCGUGCUUAACACAUGCAAGUCGAACGAGAAAUGUAGACGGAAACCUUCGGGCGGAAGCCUUCAUUUCGAGUGGCGGACGGGUGAGUAACGCGUGGGUAACCUGCCUCAUACAGGGGGAUAACAGUUGGAAACGACUGUUAAUACCGCAUAAGACCACAGCAUCGCAUGAUGCGGGGGUAAAAACUCCGGUGGUAUGAGAUGGACCCGCGUUCGAUUAGCCAGUUGGCUGGGUAACGGCCCACCAAAGCGACGAUCGAUAGCCGAUCUGAGAGGAUGACCGGCCACAUUGGGACUGAGACACGGCCCAAACUCCUACGGGAGGCAGCAGUGGGGAAUAUUGCACAAUGGGGGAAACCCUGAUGCAGCGACGCCGCGUGAGUGAAGAAGUACUUCGGUAUGUAAAGCUCUAUCAGCAGGGAAGAAAAUGACGGUACCUGAGUAAGAAGCCCCGGCUAACUACGUG
rnacentral:rRNA from 1 species